rnacentral:rRNA from 1 species
CCUACGGGGUGCAGCAGUGAGGAAUAUUGGUCAAUGGGCGCGAGCCUGAACCAGCCAAGUCGCGUGAGGGAUGACGGCCCUGCGGGUUGUAAACCUCUUUUGCCGGGGAGCAACGGGCGUCACGUGUGGCGCCACUGAGAGUACCCGGAGAAAAAGCAUCGGCUAACUCCGUGCCAGCAGCCGCGGUAAUACGGAGGAUGCGAGCGUUAUCCGGAUUUAUUGGGUUUAAAGGGGGCGUAGGCGGAUCGUUAAGUCAGUGGUCAAAUUGAGGGGCUCAACCCCUUCCCGCCAUUGAAACUGGCGUUCUUGAGUGGAAGAGAAGUAUGCGGAAUGCGUGGUGUAGCGGUGAAAUGCAUAGAUAUCACGCAGAACCCCGAUUGCGAAGGCAGCAUGCCGGCUUCCGACUGACGCUGAAGCACGAAAGCGUGGGGAUCGAACAGGAUUAGAUACCCUGGUAGUC